rnacentral:rRNA from 1 species
GACGAACGCUGGCGGCGUGCUUAACACAUGCAAGUCGAACGGAAAGGCCCUGCUUUUGUGGGGUGCUCGAGUGGCGAACGGGUGGGUAACAAGUGAGUAACCUGCCCUUUACUUUGGGAUAACUUCAGGAAACUGGGGCUAAUACCGGAUAGGAGCUCCUGCUGCAUGGUGGGGGUUGGAAAGUUCGGGCGGUUGGGGAUGGACUCGCGGCUUAUCAGCUUGUUGGUGGGGUAGUGGUUUACCAAGUCUUUGACGGGUAGCCGGCAUGAGAGGGUGACCGGCGACAUGGGGCCUGAGAUAGGGCCCAGUAGCCUACGGGAGGCAGCAGGGGGGAAUAUUGCACAAUGGGCGGAAGCCUGAUGCAGCAACGCCGCGUGCGGGAUGACGGCCUUCGGGUUGUAAACCGCUGUCGCCUGAGACGAAGCGUGAGUGACGGUAAUGGGUAAAGAAGCACCGGCUAACUACGUG